UUAAGCUACUAAGAGCAUAGGGAGAAUGCCUAGGUACCAAAAGCCGAAGAAAGACGUGAUAAGCUGCGAAAAGCCACGGGGAGAAGCAAAUAUUCAAUAAUCCGUGGAUGUCUGAAUGAGGAAACUCUAACCAAGAAAAAAGUUGGUUAAUCCAUACAUGAGUAAAGUAGUGUAUAGGAGGGGAACGUGGGGAACUGAAACAUCUAAGUACCCACAGGAAAAGAAAGAAAACUCGAUUCCUAAAGUAGUGGCGAGCGAAAUAGGAAGAGCCCAAACCAGAAGAAGAAAUUCAUCUGGGGUUCGGACUACAUAAUUGAUUCAAUGAGUUUAGUAAAAUUGUUUGGGAAAGCAAACCAAAGACGGUGAAAGUCCAGUAUACGAAAAACAAGUUGACAAGGUAGAAUCCAGAGUAGUGCGAGACACGUGAAAUCUCGUAUGAAGGAGCGGGGACCACCCCGUAAGGCUAAAUACUAAUUGGUAACCGAUAGUGAAGAAGUACCGUGAGGGAAAGUUGAAAAGAACCCCGGGAGGGGAGUGAAAUAGAACCUGAAACCCUAUGUUUACAAGCAGACAAAGCACGUUAAGGUGCGAUGUCGUACUUUUUGUAGAACGGUCCGGCGAGUUAUUUUAUAUGGCAAGGUUAAGUACUAAAGGUACGGAGCCGAAGAGAAAUCGAGUCUGAAGAGGGCGAAUAAGUCAUAUGAAAUAGACCCGAAACCGAGUGACCUAUCCAUGUCCAGGCUGAAGCUUGAGUAAAAUCAAGUGGAGGGCCGAACUCAUAGACGUUAAAAAGUCUCGGGAUGAGGUGUGGAUAGCGGAGAAAUUCCAAUCGAACUCGGAGAUAGCUGGUUCUCCUCGAAAUAGUUUUAGGACUAGCCUUGUUUCGUAGCAUUUGGGGGUAGAGCACUGAAUGAGGUAGGGGCCAACACGGUUACUGAACUCUAUCAAACUACGAAUACCAAAUGUGUAAGAACAAGAGUCAGACUGCGGGAGCUAAGUUCCGUGGUCAAAAGGGAAAGAGCCCAGAUCGUCAAUUAAGGUCCCAAAGAUAUAGUUAAGUGGAAAACGAUGUGAUUUUGCGUAAACAACCAGGAUGUUGGCUUAGAAGCAGCCAUGCAUUCAAAGAGUGCGUAAUAGCUCACUGGUCGAGUGAAGUUGCGCGGAAAAUUACCGGGGCUAAACUAUACACCGAAAUUGCGGAUUUGCAUAGAAAUAUGUAAGUGGUAGAGGAGCAUUCUAUAGUAGGACGAAGCAUAAUCGAAAGGAUAUGUGGACGAGAUAGAAGAGAGAAUGCCGGAAUAAGUAGCGAAAGCAUGGUGAGAAUCCAUGCCAUCGAAAGUCUAAGGUUUCCUGGGGAAGGUUCGUCCGCCCAGGGUAAGUCGGGACCUAAGGAGAGGCCGAAAAGCGUAUCCGAUGGACAGCAGGUAGAAAUUCCUGCACUACGUAAUACUUAAAAGACAUAAAUGACACAGGAGUGGAAGAUAAGCGAGGAAGAGGAAAGACUCGUAUCGAAAGAUAUAGUGAAAAUUAAAGUAACGAAUUAUCAAGAAGCUAAUGGCGAGAAAAGUUUAUGGAUAUUGUAUUAAGUACCCGUACCGCAAACCGACACAGGUAGAUGAGGAGAAGAUCCUAAGAUGAGCGAGAGAAGCAUUGUUAAGGAACUCGGCAAACUGACCCCGUAACUUCGGAAUAAGGGGUGCUGGAGUAGAAUCCAGUCGCAGAGAAUAGUCCCAAGCAACUGUUUAACAAAAACACAGGUUUCUGCUAAAUCGAAAGAUGAAGUAUAGGAGCUGACACCUGCCCAGUGCUGGAAGGUUAAGGGAAAGAGUUAGACGCAAGUCGAAGCUUAGAACUAAAGCCCCAGUGAACGGCGGCCGUAACUAUAACGGUCCUAAGGUAGCGAAAUUCCUUGUCAGGUAAG
rnacentral:rRNA from 1 species